rnacentral:pre_miRNA from 1 species
GUAAGUGCAUAUGUUUCAAAAACUUGUUCAAAUUGUUUUCGAAAACAUUGCAUUUACAG